UAGAAUCUACACCAAAACAGAACAGGAAAGAUGCAUCUACUGCAGAGUAUUUUACUGUCCAGCGUUCUAUAGGUUGUUGUCAGCAUUUGCAAAAAGCACAAGCAACUACAAAGAUCAAGAUUAGCAGAAAAUAAAAACAGGAGACUUUGUACAAAAGGAAAAUUCGGAGAUGAAUUCAGUGAUGAGUCUGCUAGAGAAUUCCUUCUGCCAAAAUUGAAGCUUUGCAGAACAGACACGUACCAGCCUGGAAAUAUUAUCUGCUGCCUCUGAACAAAAUGUCAAAUUCUGGAUGCAAUCCUAUCUGGCCUGUAUAGCUUGCCCAAGAUAUUGCUAAGUCUAUUUCUGACAGGAACAACAAUUCCUAGACCUUUUUCCAGGUCUCACCCUUGUGAUCUUGUUUAGCUCUGUAGUUAGGAACUUCUAGUGAUUCAAAAGGUUAUUCCAAUUAGACUGCAAAGCUGUAGAGGAUUGAAAGGUCUACUUUUCAAAGACCUUUAUAAAAUUCUCCUUCCCAGUUUUUACCUUGCUUAUAGUCAUAAGAGAGAACAUCUGAGGAGACAGAGGAAUACAGGUAACUAGGUAAAUGGGUCUGAUCAAAACUGUGUCUGCAAGAAGAAGCAUUAAACUGCCAGCAGUUCUUUUGUUGUUUUGCUCCAGUUUCAGUUUUGCUGGUGUGUCUGUCAGUAUAAGAGUAUCUUGAACAUUAAAGGGAGUAAAAGAAAAUAAAUGAUUACUCUAGCAUUUAGAGAUUGAUCCUUAGCUACUGAGCUGAAAGCCUCUUAAAAGGGGCUAGAACCUUCAGCUCCUUUUGAUUUGAUUACGUGCACUAAUCAUCUGUUCCAGCUUAAGUCACGGGGAGAGAUCUGGGUGCAAAUGCUUCACAGGCUGUUCUCUGCAUUGCUCUGCUCACAGCCACAGUAAGGUCAAGCUGAGAAGUAGGAAAAGUGCUACUUGGGAACCUAGUUAGCUGUCAGUUAACUAACCAACUGUUGCUUCUGGCACCUUUGAUUAGUGGAAGGACUGCAGAAAGUGACUGAAUCUGGGUAUGAAGACGCCAAAACAGCCUGCAGUGGUUCUGCCAUAACCCUGGCUAGUAAUGCAGAUGGUUAUGCUGGGAAAAUAUGAAUACUAAGCUCCUCAGAGAUGUCUUGAACUAAGACUUCCAGUUAAAGCUGCUUCAAGCUUGCACAUCUGGCAAAUAUUUCUGUGUUUUUAACCCCUAGGAAAUGUCUGUAGUUUGAGAAAAUAUGGAUUAUGGAAGAGUUUUGUCUGCUCUUCACUUUAUUUGCUGGGUUGAAGCAUCUUAUGAACUGAAUUAGUAGUGUGGUUUGAAUCUCUGUUAGCUUUGGCCAUUGGAAUGCUCUCCACUGAAAUGCAUCUUGUAAUUCAAUACUAAUAAAUGCCAUCAAAGUAGAAUAACUUUAUUUAAUGUUUAGACAGAAUGUUUAGGAUAAAAUAUCCUCAAUUUCAAAGCAUUUUCCUCACAUUAAG
rnacentral:lncRNA from 7 species